rnacentral:rRNA from 1 species
CCUACGGGAGGCAGCAGUGAGGAAUAUUGGUCAAUGGACGAGAGUCUGAACCAGCCAAGUAGCGUGAAGGAUGACGGCCCUAUGGGUUGUAAACUUCUUUUAUAUGGGAAUAAAAUGUUCCACGUGUGGCAUUUUGUAUGUACCAUAUGAAUAAGCAUCGGCUAACUCCGUGCCAGCAGCCGCGGUAAUACGGAGGAUGCGAGCGUUAUCCGGAUUUAUUGGGUUUAAAGGGUGCGCAGGCGGAUAGUUAAGUCAGUUGUGAAAGUGUGAGGCUCAACCCUCUAAUUGCAGUUGAAACUGGUUGUCUUGAGUACGGGAGAGGUAUGCGGAAUGCGUGGUGUAGCGGUGAAAUGCAUAGAUAUCACGCAGAACUCCGAUUGCGAAGGCAGUACACUGGAGUGCAACUGACGCUGAGGCACGAAAGUGUGGGUAUCGAACAGGAUUAGAUACCCUAGUAGUC